AUUGAACGCUGGCGGCAGGCCUAACACAUGCAAGUCGAGCGGAGCGGCGGACGGGUGAGUAAUGCCUAGGAAUCUGCCUGGUAGUGGGGGAUAACGUCCGGCAUCGGGCGCUAAUACCGCAUACUAUCAGAUGAGCCUAGGUCGGAUUAGCUAGUGGGUGGGGUAAAGGCCUACCAAGGCGACGAGCGGUAACGGGUCUGAGAGGAGGAUCAGUCACAUGGGAACUGAGAAACGGUCCAGACCCCUACGGGAGGCAGGAGGGGGGAAUGGUGGACAAUGGGCGAAAGCCUGAUCCAGCCAGGCCGGGUGUGUGAAGAGGGUUUUCGGAUUGUAAAGUGUAUUAAGUUUGGAGUCGUUAGCAACAGAAGAAGCACCGGCUAACUACGUGCCAGCAGCCGCGGUAAUAC
rnacentral:rRNA from 1 species